rnacentral:lncRNA from 10 species
GACUCCUGCGCAAGCGCAGAGUGAAGGGCCGGGAACAGUGGAGGGUGCGAGGAAGACAAUGGGGGAGGACCCUGAGGCGGCCUCUGUGAGCCGACAGGAACACGUGGUCGAUCAGAGAGAGACUCGAGGUUCGUGAACGGAUGGGGAGGACCCUGAAAAGCACUGUGGAAUACAGGUUUCUAGUAACUUCAAAAUCACAUCAUUUGGACUGGGUAAGAAUUGCUGAAACUUUAAUGAAAAGACUGACUGGCUUAUAAAACUGCUAACCCAAAUAGAAUAAAAAUUAAUUGAAUACCGAGGAAAUGCUUCACCAGGUUUGCAUACUUAAUCAGCCUAUACUGAAAUUGUUUAGAUAUACAAUUUGAAUGAACUCCAUGGUCUAAGUCAAAUUACCUGUGAUAACCCAUCAGUUAUCCAUGCUAUGUGCCCAAUUUGGAGAAACAACUGGCACCCAAGAGGACAUAAGUCCGAUGUUAAGCAUGGACUCAUGGAGAACCAAGAUGGCUGCCUUGUCCUUCGUGAGUCCUUAAAGCUUUUGUUAUUAAAAGUUAUGCAUUCCAUGACUCAUCCUGGAAAAGAUAAAAUGAUCCAAAUUAAAUAUGUUGGUGUGGUGACUUACAGAUUGUUAAAAUAGUUUAUAAACAAUGUUUAGUUUGUCAAACCCAUACUCCUGGGAAGUCAAUCAAAGCUUCAUGUACAUUUGGCUACCUGAUGAGGCAUUUAAACAUUUAUAAAGGGGUUUCAUUCAGUUGUCAUUUUCAAUGUAUGUGUUCUGGUUGUACUAAAGCUUUCCCAUGCAGGAGGGCUAAUGUUAUAACAGUAGAUUACUAUGUAUCAGUGUAUUUUCACCAGGUAAAGAGCUUUUUAUGGUUCACUGAGGACAAUCAACCCCUUCACAAUCUAGAACCCAAAGAUGGGAUCUUCUGAGAACAUCAGAGAAACGCUGCCCUUGGCAUCAUCACUGCAACAAAACAUCAGGAUCUUGAACCUUGGGGUCAUAAUCUCACAACUGAGCAGGGUCACUCUUGGAACUCUACAUCCAUUGAAACCCUUAAGGUAAAGCUAAUCAGGGAAGUUUCUCCCCAGAAGAAGAUGGCAUCCUUGAUGUGAGCAGCUCUUUCUGAAGAUCAUGGAUCAAGACUUCUUACUAUCAUGAGACUCUUAUCUUUGAAUGUUUUUCCGUUGCUUCCGCCUCUGUGAACAACAGAAGUGAGAAGGGGGUCUGUUUUGUGCACUUAUGGGGUAUACUUUUAUUUGUGAAGGGCUUUGCAGCCAGCUUUAUACAUGGAUAAUCUUAUAACUUGAUAGAUAAAGAUGAAGGCCCAGUGUAUCAUAGGUGAGAAACUUCAAUGGUACAUAUGGUGCCUCAUAAUCAUUCAGAAGCAGAACAUUGGUUCACUCCUCUUAACCCACAGCAUGGGUUAAAGAGACCAUUGCCAAGAGGCCUUCCCUCUUCUAGAAGGGCAUCAUUUGUUAGGUCCUUUUUCCAUGGUUUGGAAUUAAAAAGGCAAUGACUAGAAACAUAUCCCUCAUGGUAGACUCUGUAGCAGAUUCUACUGUAAAGGCUACACAACAGAUGUUAAAUUCUCUUGUGAAAGUUAUGCUAAAAAAUAGAAUUGGCUAAACAGGAAAGUACCUGUGCAGAUGCUGGCACUUAAGGCCUAUGGAGAAAACAUCAGGUGUUAUAGAGAGUCUGUUGUAGGGAAUUAACGAAAAGACCACUGAGUUAAGUCAAAGAAUGGUCUAUUUGAGUUUAGGUGGUCUGGUUUAUGGGGACCCUGGCUAAGGAGCAUACUCCAAAUUCUUGGUGUUAACCCUCUCAGUAGUCAUAAGAAUAGUCUCCCUGGUGCACUGUAUUCUCUCAAAGGUUUUAAAUGUUUGCAUGAAGCCAUCUUUAGAACGUCAGAUGGUCUCUCUUCAACUGGAAUGACAAGAGCUGAAAGAAAUGUGUGACCACGAGGACACCGAAACCGAUGAGUGACAUGCUGAGACUGGAAAUCCAAAAUGAUAGUAACGGAGAGUGGCGCUAACAUCCUAAGUUUUGGUCACACUCUUGCCUAAGUGACAACCUGACAAAGGGGGAAUUUUUUAAACAAAAUGAUGGGAGGCCAUUGUUUUGGACUGAGCACUAGGUCCCAACAGACCAAACCGAACCAAAAUGGCAUCAUUCGUGCUAAAUGUGACAUAAUCGAAUUAAGACUUUAAGGAAACACAUGGGUCCUAGAAUAGACCAGGUUUUGUUUUUCUCUUGCAAACAGGACUUUCCAGCAUAAGGUGGUAUCCUCAACUCAGUCCUUGUUCCUACCUUUGCAAAACUCACUGUUCUGCUUCCUAGUGGGUUUCAAGACCAAUGGUGACAGUGACAUCAAUAACUCAAGUUUCGAUCAAUCUCUCAAAACUGAUAAAAUGACCAAAAAGGGGGAAUUGUUAAAGCGAACUAAAUAUGGCCUGAGAAGGACUCCGUACUUCUGUAUUGGAGUCCCUGUGAACAAACUGAGCCUAACUUAAUAGGUAGACAAGAUUGAAAACCUAAAUUAGGAGUAUGUACCUGUCACAAUUGCUGAGUCUCGGCCAGUCCCAGCAGCCGUACUUCAAUCACUCAUACACUGCUGAAUGUUCAAACUGUGUGUAAAUAAGGCAAAUGCCAACCUGUAACUAAUCCAGGUGUUUCUCUACCUCACUUCCCUUUUUUUGUCUAUAAAUCUUCCACCACGUGGCUGCACUGGAGUCUCUCUGAAUCUGCUGUAAUUCUGGGGGCUGCCCGAUGUGCAAAUCAUUCAUUGCUCAAUUAAACUCCUUUAAAUUUAAUUCAGCUGAAGUUUUCUUUUAACAAGAGUGAGAUAAGAAUCUGUGUUCUUAUCCCCCAGAAUGGACAAAUCAGUAGCGUUCCUUGUCAUUCUUUUGUGGCUGGUUUCACGUAAAUAUUUUGUGUGUAUGAUAAUAGAAUUUGAUUUUAAUGAAUAUACUUUAAAAGCAACUUUUUUUUUAUUCUUCCUCACCAUCGAAGAUGGAGAAAAAUAAGAAGGGCUGUCUUGCGGUUCCAUUUCUUUUGUGGAUAGUAAGAAGCGCUGUCUUCUGGUUCCGUUUUUUUUUUCUGGAUAGUAAGGAUGUUUAUCUUACUCUGUCUUCAUUGUCCUCAAACCUCAAGUAGUCACUAAUACCCUGGCUAUGACAGCUUUUAUCGUAGUGUUAAAUGGCAGAUUUAUUUACUUGGCAAACAUUGUCAAGUCUCAGAAAAAUUACCCCAUGGUCUUGCCUUCUUCCCUCGUGAAUUGCCUUCCACUGAUGGAGAGGAUUUGAUCUGUUCCCUGCUCAUCAAUUUUUCUAGCUUCUUUGGGAUGUCCGCUCUGCAUAUCUACUAAGGAAUUAAGAAAUAAUGGCUUCAGCAAGAAACAAGGCAGGAAAGUGCAGUGACAUGAGGACCAUACAGGGAAGGAGCUGUCCCCAAAGGGUCUUUGUGACUUGUACCUUGUGCGGACCUCCUACUCAUCCUGUGACUAAGAACACUGAACUUCCUGGGGUUACAGCCCACAGGUCUCAGCCUCAUUUCAUCCAGCCCCUAUUCAAGAUGGAGUCGCUCUGGUUCAAAUGCCUCUGACACUAGUAAGGAUCACAGGUGGCAUCAACAGGUUUGGAGCAAACCUGAGUGUCUCCCGGUUGGUCACAUCUCAACUGACGAAAUCCACGACCAGCAGAGAGCAGCCUCCUUGCCCCCUGUGCUCACUGAGUCAUCCAGCCCAUUUUGACCAAGAUUAUGUGAGUUGCUGGAGCAGAGGUUGGUUGAGGGAGCUCCCACUGUAUGUAAUCACCGUGUCUUGCACAAAAUAAAUAGAAAAC